AAACUUUUAACAACGGAUCUCUUGGUUCUGGCAUCGAUGAAGAACGCAGCGAAAUGCGAUAAGUAAUGUGAAUUGCAGAAUUCAGUGAAUCAUCGAAUCUUUGAACGCACAUUGCGCCCGCCAGCAUUCUGGCGGGCAUGCCUGUUCGAGCGUCAUUUCAACCCUCAAGCACUGCUUGGUGUUGGGGCUCUACGGUUGACGUAGGCCCCCAAAACUAG
rnacentral:rRNA from 1 species